ACGCGAAACCAGGUGAUCUACCCAUGGCCAGGUUGAAGGGACAGUAACAUGUCCUGGAGGACCGAACCCGUAUUCGUUGAAAAGAAUUGGGAUGAGCUGUGGGGAGGAGUCAAAGUCUAAUCAUACCUGGAUAUAUCUCGUUCUCCUCGAAAUAGUUUUUGGGCUAGCCUCACGUUACGGCGUUAAGGGGUAGAGCUACUGAUUGGGGCUGGGGGGCUACCCGCCUACCCACCCCAACCAAACUCCGAAUACUUAACGUUUUUGUCGUGGGAGUCAGACCGCGGGGGAUAAUCUUCGUGGUCGAGAGGGAAACAACCCAGACCGCCAGCUAAGGUCCCUAAUUGUGUCUCAGUUCUUAAGGAAGUUAGGAUCCCGUGACAGCCAGGAUGUUGGCUUAGAAGCAGCCACCAUUUAAAGAGUGCGUAAUAGCUCACUGGUCGAGGAUUUUAGCGCCGAUAAUGAUCGGGAAUAAGACGCAAACCGAAGCUGCGGAAUUCGAAAGAAUUGGUAGAGGAGCGUUCUUGUCAGCGUCGAAGCAGAACGGGCAACGUUCUGUGGAGCGGCAAGAAGUGAUUAUGCCGGCUUGAGUAACGAUAAAACAGGUGAAAAUCCUGUUCGCCGAAAGAGUAAGGUUUCCUGGGCAAGGUAAAUCCGCCCAGGGUUAGUCGGAACCUAAGGCGAGGCCGAAAGGCGUAGUCGAUGGAC
rnacentral:rRNA from 1 species